rnacentral:miRNA from 1 species
CUUCCAGUAGCACCUUAGAGACCAACUAAGUUUGUUACUGGUAUGAGCUUUCGUGUGCAUGCACACUUCUUCAGAUACACAUGCACACAAAAGUUCAUACCAAAAAUAAACUUAGUUGGUCUCUAAGGUGCUACUGGAAG